rnacentral:rRNA from 1 species
UACAGAGACCUCGAGCGUUUUCCGGAAUCAUUGGGCGUAAAGCGUCCGUAAGCGGUUUUAUAAGUUGAACUUGAAAUCCGGUGGCUCAACCACCGACCCGGGUUCAAUACUGUAAGACUAGAGGCUUGGAGAGGUUGAUGGAAUUCCCGGUGUAGCAGUGAAAUGCGUUAAUAUCGGGAAGAACACCUAUUGCGAAGGCAGUCAACUAUUCAACGCCUGACACGCAGGGACGAAAGCGUGGGGAGCGAACGGG